rnacentral:rRNA from 1 species
AUUGAACGCUGGCGGAAUGCUUUACACAUGCAAGUCGAACAGCAGCACGGGGGCAACCCUGGUGGCGAGUGGCGAACGGGUGAGUAAUACAUCGGAACGUGCCCAGUCGUGGGGGAUAACGUAGCGAAAGUUACGCUAAUACCGCAUACGAUCUACGGAUGAAAGCGGGGGACCGUAAGGCCUCGCGCGAUUGGAGCGGCCGAUGUCAGAUUAGGUAGUUGGUGAGGUAAAGGCUCACCAGGCCGACGAUCUGUAGCUGGUCUGAGAGGACGACCAGCCCAACUGGGACUGAGACACGGCCCAGACUCCUACGGGAGGCAGCAGUGGGGAAUUUUGGACAAUGGGCGCAAGCCUGAUCCAGCCAUUCCGCGUGCAGGACGAAGGCCUUCGGGUUGUAAACUGCCUUUGUACGGAACGAAAAGGCUCUGGUUAAUACCUGGGGCUCAUGACGGUACCGUAAGAAUAAGCACCGGCUAACUACGUGCCAGCCGCCGCCGUAA